GACGAACGCUGGCGGCGUGCUUAACACAUGCAAGUCGAACGGAAAGGCCCUGCUUUUGUGGGGUGCUCGAGUUGCGUACGGGUGAGCAACACGUGAGUAACCUGCCCUUGACUUUGGGAUAACUUCAGUAAACUGCGGCUAAUACCGGAUAGGAGCUCCUGCUGCAUGGUUGGGGUUGGAAAGUUUCGUCGGUUGGGGAUGGACUCGCGGCUUAUCAGCUUGUUGGUGGGGUAGUGGCUUACCAAGGCUUUGACGGGUAGCCGGCCUGAUAGGGUGACCGGCCACAUUGGGAGUGAAAGACGGCACAGACUACUAAGGGAGGCAGAAGAGGGGAAUGUAGCAAAAUGAGCGGAAGCAUGAUGCAGCAAGGAAGCGUGCGGGAUGACGGCAUGCGGGUUGGAAACAGCUUUCGCCUGUGACGAAGCGUGAAUGACGGUAAUGGGUAAAGAAGCACCGGCUAACUACGUG
rnacentral:rRNA from 1 species